rnacentral:rRNA from 1 species
CCUACGGGAGGCAGCAGUGGGGAAUAUUGGACAAUGGGGGCAACCCUGAUCCAGCCAUGCCGCGUGUGUGAAGAAGGCCUUUUGGUUGUAAAGCACUUUAAGCAGGGAGGAGAGGCUAAUGGUUAAUACCCAUUAGAUUAGACGUUACCUGCAGAAUAAGCACCGGCUAACUCUGUGCCAACAGCCGCGGUAAUACAGAGGGUGCGAGCGUUAAUCGGAAUUACUGGGCGUAAAGCGAGUGUAGGUGGCUCAUUAAGUCACAUGUGAAAUCCCCGGGCUUAACCUGGGAACUGCAUGUGAUACUGGUGGUGCUAGAAUAUGUGAGAGGGAAGUAGAAUUCCAGGUGUAGCGGUGAAAUGCGUAGAGAUCUGGAGGAAUACCGAUGGCGAAGGCAGCUUCCUGGCAUAAUAUUGACACUGAGAUUCGAAAGCGUGGGUAGCAAACAGGAUUAGAUACCCUGGUAGUCCACGCCGUAAACGAUGUCUACUAGCCGUUGGGGUCCUUGAGACUUUAGUGGCGCAGUUAACGCGAUAAGUAGACCGCCUGGGGAGUACGGCCGCAAGGUUAAAACUCAAAGGAAUUGACGG